rnacentral:rRNA from 1 species
AUUGAACGCUGGCGGCAGGCCUAACACAUGCAAGUCGAGCGGAUGAGGGAAGCUUGCUUCCCAAUUUAGCGGCGGACGGGUGAGUAAUGCCUAGGAAUCUGCCUAUUAGUGGGGGAUAACGUUCCGAAAGGAACGCUAAUACCGCAUACGUCCUACGGGAGAAAGUGGGGGAUCUUCGGACCUCACGCUAAUAGAUGAGCCUAGGUCGGAUUAGCUAGUUGGUGGGGUAACGGCUCACCAAGGCGACGAUCCGUAGCUGGUCUGAGAGGAUGAUCGGCCACACUGGAACUGAGACACGGUCCAGACUCCGACGGGAGGCAGCAGUGGGGAAUAUUGGACAAUGGGCGAAAGCCUGAUCCAGCCAUGCCGCGUGUGUGAAGCAGGUCUUCGGAUUGUAAAGCACUUUAAGUUGGGAGGAAGGGUUGUAAGCUAAUAUCUUGCAGCUUUGACGUUACCAACAGAAUAAGCACCGGCUAACUCUGUGCCAGCCGCCGCCGUAACAC